rnacentral:tRNA from 1 species
UCCUUGAUGGUCCAGUGACUAAGACUCCAUGCUCCCAAUGCAGGGGGCUCAGGUUCAAUCCCUGGUCAAGGAA